UGGAAAUCAAUGAUCGGAAGGAAAUGAUAAGUCCUUGAUUAUAGAGAGCGUUUGGUUGGUGGAAAAACGCAUCAAGGUUAUCAUGGUGACAUCCGUAAGUGCUGAAAGAAAUGCUUAAAGGCAAAGUAGAAUCAGACGGUACCACUCGUUAUGUGGCAUGAGAGGCUGGUAAAAAGGCAAUCUGGGUGGUACCACGGAAUACAUUCGUCCCUAUG
rnacentral:ncRNA from 1 species